CCAAUUUUUGAAGUUCAGCGGUCCAGAACCAACCGUUAAUAUUGGAUGGAAGAAGAUCGGGUCUGUCGCAUCCUUUGAAGUCACAAAGACGACCGGAAGUCCAGAUGUACUUAACGUUAUCUGAAAAAAAAGAAGAUUUUACAUUUUGGUUUGAACAUUCGGAAGGCGAAUUUUAUUAACAAAAUUGAUGGGACAUAAAUUGACCCCUUUUUCAUUAAACGUUUUCGGCUUGAUACAAUUGAGAAAGUAUCACCUACUUUACUUUAUGGCAAAGGAAUAUACCAAAGUCGCCGAUGAGAAGAUUACCAAUUCAAAUUCAGAUGAAAUCUCAAUUAAUCGAGAAUGAUAAUCUAUUAGGAUGGAAAUUAAUACAAUUAAAAAAAAGGUAAUAAUUUAUAAUAUUACAAAAAACAACAGUGAAACCAGAAUAAUAGUUGUUUUCUAACAAUGCGUACAAGUCCAGUUGAAAAAGAAUUUUUUUCCUAAAUUCCGGAUGUGAGGAAAUUGAUUUUUUUCUUUUUUAUAAACAGAAAAGUCACACACCAAAAAUGUGUGUUACGAACUCAUGAUUAGUAAUACUUUCUCAGCUAUUCAUUUUGGCUGAAAUAAGAAGCAAUAAAUUCUCAUUGUACACAAGUUUCUUCUGUUUGGUUUACAUGAAUGUUUUCCCACGUGGGUUUCGAUUGUUGCACAAGAAAGGUAUAACCUACUGCACACUUUGGGACCACCAUCAGUGAAUUCGUUUUAUCGAAAGUAAAAUACAAUAAUAUGCACCUUUAAUCAAUUAUAGAUUUACAUAAAAUUCAAAAAAAAGAACAAUUUUCAUUGUAUCAUUUUAAUUUUAAAUAUUUUCAAUUUUUAAUUCUUUUAAAAGAGAUUUUUUUUUUAAUUCUUUUAAAUUUAAAAUAAAAAAAAAUUUAUUUUUUAAACGGUUUUUUUUUUAAAUUCAAAAAAGAACUGUAUUUUAUUCAAAACAGCAUUUUAUUUUGAUUAAUUUAUUCUAUCAGCGAAUUGGUACUUACAAAAAUAAUAAUUUAUUCUGACCAGAUAAAAAGAUCUUUCCUCGAGAUUUAAAACAGAUACCAAACAUUUUUCUGCUACUUUCUCUGUGAUAAUUUAUACAAAUUUAUUGUAAUCAAAUGUAUUUACAUUUCUAACACUAUACUCAAAACAAAAAAUAAAAUAAAUAAAAAAAAAAGAACCUGAAAAUUCGUGGUAAUAGAAAAUUAGUCAAGAGGCAUUUUUGUCAUUCUUGUUUUUGAAAUAACCAUUAAAAUUUAAUCAAAAUAAUUUUUUUCUUACAUAAAAUAAAAUUUAAAAAAAAUGUGUUUCGAAAUAAAAUACUUUUUAGUAAAAAAAAAUGCUGUUUUAUAAUAAAGUAAUCUUCUUUUUGUAAUUUUUUUUUUUUUUUUUGCAUUCUUCUUUUGAUGGAACAUUUUCGAAACAUCAUUUUAAUAAUUGAGAUUGAACGAUGUAAUUCGGAGUAAGUUACCUUGAAAGGGAAAAAAAACGCUUUUAUUGUAAAAAAAGAACCUUGAAAUUAAAAAAAAGACGAACACUCGAGAAAAAAGUAACUGAACCUUGACUUAGAGAUGCUGUUUAAUUUUCAAAUAUUGGUUUUAGAGCCCAAGUUUACCUGUUUCUAUAUUCAGAAACUGAAUAUUCAAAAGAAAGGCGAACUUUCGCUGACAGAUUUGUGAAAAGUCUGAAUGUAAAUUUAUUUUAGAAUCUCCAUUACAAAUGAAAGCAGAAAAUUAGUUCUCAAAAGAUUAAGAAAGGGAUUUUUUUUAAAAAUGUAAAAGUCCUUAAAGCACAUACAUAAAAAAAUAUAAUAAAUAAUUGUAUACCUAAUAUAAAUUUUUAAUAAUUACAUUAAUUAUUGCAAUUAUAAAAUUUUUUUAUAAUAUUGAAUUAAUUAAAGAAAUUAAAUAAUUUAAAAUUUUAUUUGAUAAAUAUAAAUAUUAUAAAUUAAAUUACAAUUCACAAAUUUACCAAAAUGUUUUUACGAGACAAUGCGCAAAUUUUUUGUGUAUCCUAAAAUGCCAUUUGCAUACUAAGUGAUGACAAAGUUUUUUUCUCAAUCUUUUAUUCAGUAUUUUCUUUAAAAAUUUAGUUUGCAUAUUAUAAAAUAGGUAAU